rnacentral:rRNA from 1 species
GACGAACGCUGGCGGCGUGCCUAAUACAUACAAGUCGAGCGGACUUUCAAGAAGCUUGCUUUUUGAAAGUUAGCGGCGGACGGGUGAGUAACACGUGGGCAACCUGCCUGCAAGACGGGGAUAACUCCGGGAAACCGGGGCUAAUACCGGAUAAUAUCUUCCUUCGCAUGAAGGAAGGUUGAAAGGCGGCGCAAGCUGCCGCUUGCAGAUGGGCCCGCGGCGCAUUAGCUAGUUGGUGAGGUAACGGCUCACCAAGGCGACGAUGCGUAGCCGACCUGAGAGGGUGAUCGGCCACACUGGGACUGAGACACGGCCCAGACUCCUACGGGAGGCAGCAGUAGGGAAUCUUCCGCAAUGGACGAAAGUCUGACGGAGCAACGCCGCGUGAGCGAAGAAGGUCUUCGGAUCGUAAAGCUCUGUUGUCAGGGAAGAACAAGUACCGUUCGAACAGGGCGGUACCUUGACGGUACCUGACCAGAAAGCCACGGCUAACUACGUG